CAGCGUUCUGGUUAGGAUCCAGAACAUCUAGAACAUGGCUUUCCUGUAAGUUCUGUGCAUGGCUUAGGUGCCAGGCUCUGUGGUGGCGUUCCCUGCACUCUCCCUGCCGUUCUUCCUGUGACUGCCCUGGGAGCUUCCACAGGUUUGUUUUCUUUGCUGUCUAAAAAACACAACAAGGUUCUGGAGCAAGCCACGCAGUCCUUGAGAGGUUCCCUGAGCUCCAGCGAUGUCCCUCUCCCAGAUUAUGCCCAGGACCUCAGCGUCAUUGAAGAAGUGAUUCGGAUGAUGCUGGAGAUCAUCAACUCCUGCCUGACUAAUUCUCUCCACCACAACCCGAACUUCAGUUGGCCUGUACUGGAACCCACAGGACAUCCAACUGUUUGCCAUGGACUCAGACUGAAGCAGGACACGGCCAUGCCUACCCCAGCCCAGCUGCUAGUUACUUCACGUCCAGGAGCAGAGCAGACAGACUGCCCGCCCGGUGUGUCUUCUGCCACAGAGGGUCACACAGCCUGCUUCUCUCACACACUGUGACUGUCGGGAGACUUCUCAGUUAGCGGUAGUUCACUGAGCUUUGAUGUACUGCAAGGGCGAGCACAGAAAUAAACGGAAAACAUGCUGUUC
rnacentral:lncRNA from 1 species